rnacentral:rRNA from 1 species
UACGUAGGGUGCAAGCGUUGUCCGGAAUUAUUGGGCGUAAAGAGCUCGUAGGCGGUUUGUUGCGUCGGCUGUGAAAUCCCGAGGCUCAACCUCGGGUCUGCAGUCGAUACGAGCAAACUAGAGUGUUGCAGGGGGGACUGGAAUUCCUGGUGUAGCGGUGAAAUGCGCAGAUAUCAGGAGGAACACCGGUGGCGAAGGCGGUUCUCUGGGAAUGACCUGACGCUGAGGAGCGAAAGUGUGGGGAGCGAACAGG